rnacentral:lncRNA from 10 species
GAAAUUGCUGCAGCCACUCCAACCUUCAGCAACCACCUCCUUGAUCAGUCAGCAGCCAUCAACAUUGAGGCAAGACCCUCCACCAGCAAAAUGAUUAUGACUUACUGAAGGUUCAGAUAAUCAUUCUCACUUUUUGGCAACAAAGUAUAUUUUAUUAAGGUGCAACUAAAAAUUCUGGAUAUUCUGUACAAAAGAAACAAAAUAAAAGUCUCAAGGAUGGAGAGGAGGGACUGGCUAAAGAUGCAGAGACCCAAUGAAUGACGCAGAGGUGAGUCCCUCAGGUUUUAUUUUUGUUUUUUGUUUUUUGUUUUUUUUUGCCUCAUGUAUCCUAAACUUGGAAGUGAAGAAGCCAGCAACCCAGAAACCACCAAUAAGCACACACACACGCGCGCGCGUGCGCGCGAUCAUAAUGAAAGCCUGUUCUCAUUAGCCAAUGGACCAGAAAAGAGUCAACCUUACAAGACAGAAAACUUUCAGACGAUAACUUCCCACUCCAGCGAAAUGUCACAGAAAAAACUGUAAUUAUACCCUAUACUCUGCAAUAAAGACCAACUGAAGAGCCCAGAGUGUGUUGCCAGGUUAAAAUACCCCUGUCAGCUGGUAUCAAAAGAAGCUUAAUACAGAUUCAGGACUUUCAUCCCACUCACUGGGUACAAGGCCACCUACUCCCCUCUCCAUGGUGUCAGUGGAGGCCAUGUAAAGACUAGUCAUGAGGGCUGGGCACAGUGACUCACGCCUGUAAUCCCAGUACUUUGGAAGGCUGAGGCGGGUGGAUCACCUAAGGUCGACAGUUUGAGACCAGCCUGACCAACAUGAAGAAACCCCGUCUCUACUAAAAAUACAAAAUUAGCCGGACAUGGUGGCGCAUGCCUGUAAUUCCAGCUACUCUGGAGGCUGAGGCAGGAGAAUCGCUUGAACCUGGGAGGCAGAGGUUGUGGUGAGCCGAGUUUGUGCUAUUGCACUCCAGCCUGGGCAACAAGAGCAAAACUCUGUCUCAAAAAAAAAAAAAAAAUAGUAAUGAGGUGCCCUCCUUGCUGGGAUAGUGUCAGAGAAUUCCUAGUGGGAGCCUCGACUCCCAUCCCCAUCCAGAAGUUAUGAGGAAUCCUCUCCCUUGGCCGCAACGUGUCAACAGAAGAGAAGCCAGACCUUUCAAGCCUACCCGCAGAAAUGAGGCAGCCUCCCCUUUCAUUCACUAGAGUGGUGUCAGAGAAGACCUGCUAAAAUAGGAUUUAAAAAAGAUCCAGUGUUUUGUAUCAUGAUGCACAAAAUAUACUGGUUUCAAUAAAAAAAAUCACUUAUCAAACCAAGAGCAAAGAACUUUUUAGCAAAAUAAUAGAACAUUUCAGGUGAGGCACGGCUCAUGCCUAUAAUCCCAGCACUUUGAGAGGCCAAGGCAGGUGGAUCACCCGAGGUCAAGAGUUCAAGACCAGCCUGACCAACAUAGUGAAACCCCGUUUCUACUAAAAAGCACAAGAAUUAGCUGGGCGUGGUGGUGGGCUCCUGUAAUCCCAGCUACUCGGGAGGCUGAGGCAGGGAGAAUCACUAGAACCUGGUAGGCAGAGCUUGCAGUGAGCUGAGAUCGUGCCACUGCACUCCAGCCUGGGCAACAGAGUAAGACUCAGUCUCAAAAAAAAAAAAAAAAAAAAAAAGAUAAUAAUAAUAGAACAUUUCAACAAAGAAAUAUAAGAUAAAAAGAACCAAAUGGGAAUUUUAGAACUAAAAUAUAUAAUAACCAAAAUAGACAACUGAACAAAUGGACUGAACAACAGAACUGAGAAUAGAAGAAAGAAUCAGAGAACUUGAAGACAUAACAAUAAAAAUUAUCCACUCUAAACAACAAAGAGAGAAUAGAUUGAAAACAAAAUAAGAACACAACCUCAAGGGUAUAUGGCUCUAUAAUAAAGAUGUAACAUUAGUAUUAUUUGAGUUCCAGAAAGGGAGAAGAAAGACAGUGGAGCCGAAAAAGUAUUUGAAGAAAUAAUGGCUUAAAAUAUCCCAAAUUGACCAAAAAAGAAAAAAAAAAUGGAUGUAAGAAAUCUACAUCAAAACACAUCAUAGUGAAACUUCUAAAAACUAAAUACAAAGAAAAAUUUUUGAAAGCAUUGAGAGAGAAAUGACAUAUUGGUUAUAUGGGAAAAACAGUUUGGAUAACAGUAGAUUUCUCUUCAAUAAUCACAGAGCCCAGAAGAAAGUGCUGCAAUAUUUUUCAAAUGUUGAAAGAAAAAAAAAAAAAAACAACCUAUCAGCCCAGAAUCCUAUAUCCAGAGAAAAUAUUCUUCAGGAAUAGAGAUAAAAUAAAGACAUAAGAUAGAAGAGAACUAAGAGAAUUUAAAACCCACAGACCUACCCUAAAAAAUGACUCAAGAAAGUUCUCUAAACAUAAAGAACAGAAUAAAAGAAAGACUCAGUACAUUAGAAAGGAAGAAAUUAUACAUGAGCAAAAAUAUAAAUAAGGACAAUAGACUUUCUCCUCUUGAGUUUUCUAUAUGUUGACAGUUGAAGCACAAAGCUGUAACACUGUCUAAUGAGGUUCUCAAUCUAUGUAGAGGAAUUAUUCAAGAUAAGUAUUCAGACAUACAUCAGAGAUAUUGUGGGUCUGGUUCUAGACCAGUGCAACAGAAAUAGAAUACUCAUUCUUCUCAAGUGUUCAGGAAACAUUCUUCAAAAUAGAUCACAUGCUAGGCUACAAAACAAGUCUUAAGAAUUUAAGAUUGAAAUUAUUUCAAGUCUCUUUUCCAAUCACAAUGGAAUGAAACGAGAAAUAAAAAAAUAGAAUAAAAACAGAAAAA